rnacentral:misc_RNA from 1 species
UCAAACUUGGUCAUUUAGAGGAAGUAAAAGUCGUAACAAGGUUUCCGUAGGUGAACCUGCGGAAGGAUCAUUAUUGAAUAAAUUUAGAGUCUGGCAGUUGCUGGCCCAGCACCCCUGGGCACUUGUGCACGCCAUUCUCUUUCAUCCACACACACCUGUGCACUUGUGAGACGGAGGGACAAUUUUAAUUCAAUUUAAUUUUGGCCUUCUGUCUACUGUAAUACAAAAUCUCAUUUAAUUUAAACUGAAUGUAAUUGAUGUAACACAUCAUUUGAACUAAGUUUCAACAACGGAUCUCUUGGCUCUCGCAUCGAUGAAGAACGCAGC